AAGUUGAUUUCCUAAUCAGGUUCGAUGUGAGCAGAGCCAGCUAGAGAUGUGCGUGAUUCUCCCAGUGUGCGUCUUUGAUUCAUGCGCUAAUUAUGUCGAUCCUUUGGGGAAUACAGCCACGAAGCUGGGUCCUCCUUGAUUAAUGCUGGCCGAGAGCCAUGCAGCGCGCAGCGGAGAGCGGUUCAGCAUCUCUAGUCCCAGCUGAGAAUAUGGUCCCAUUAUCUCCCAGCUGCGUAAGCAAUCCAUAAGGCCCUGUUCUGCGUGGAUGAUCAGUGUAGUGGAAGCAGGGACUUGCUGAGAGCUGAAAUCUCUGUUUGAUUUGCUGUAACAUGUAAAGCGAAACUGGGACAUUUUACUUUGCAGUCUAUUAAAGGUUGAACACAACUUUAAAGAAGCAGCUAUUCUAUUCACUUGUUAUUGGACUUGAAACUCCUUUGACCUCGGAAACUGAAGAUGAGGUUGCCAUGGGAACUGCUGGUACUGCAAUCCUUCAUGUUGUGCCUUGCAGGAAAUCAGCAACACAAGAAGAGGAAAGGACAUUCUAAGCAGAAAGAAUAAACUGUCUAGUGGCGUAAAGGGAAGGCAGUCUGGUGUGACUGAAGUAGAGAACAUCUGUGAAGAGUCCUGUGAGGUGAGUUAGAGGAAUAGAGACAAGACCAGACAGGAUUUUGUGCUUCGCUGAGGAAGUUGGAAUUUAUUUUAUUUUUUUUAUUGAACUGAGUUAUUAAAGGAUCUAAAAAGUGUUAACACUGGAAU
rnacentral:lncRNA from 1 species